CGGGUUGGUAAGCACUUUAGUUGGGGACGAAAAAGUACACGGGCUAAUAACUUGUGAUCUUGAUUUAACUCACAGAAAAAGACACCGGCUAACUCUGUGC
rnacentral:rRNA from 1 species